AGAUUGCAAUUUAUUGCUCUUGAUUGGCUCGCCAGAGCCGCCCAGUGUUUGAAGGACAUGCAGUUUUUGUCCGGCUAAUACAUUACGAGGACGUAUGCGAAUUUAGGUUGGUUCUCUUCCCCCACUCCUUCUGUCUCAGGUCUGGAUGCUGCAGGCUGUGUCCAGGCUGAGUAGAGCAGCGGUGCGUGUUAGGCGAGUGGCCGCCCAGGUCCAGGUCACCACUGUAACCAUGGCCCAGAAUCACCAGAGCUGUGGUACCUACUGUCAACAGAAGGGGGGUGCUGUCACAGCAGCCAUCCUCAUCAUCGGGGACGAGAUACUCAAGGGUCACACGGUGGACACUAACAGUGCCUUCCUGUCGCGAGCGCUGAGGAAGCUGGGAGUGUGUGUCCAGCGUGUCACAGUAAUCCCAGACCAGCAGGAGGUUAUCUCUAAGGAGGUAGCCCUCCUGGCCCCACAGUACACACACCUGAUCACCUCUGGGGGAAUAGGCCCCACCCACGACGACGUCACCUUCGAAGGUGUUGCCAUGGCGUUCGAGGAGGAACUGCAUGCCCACCCGGAGCUGACCCGUUUGGUGGAGGAGUUCUUUGGGGUGGUGGAUAGGGAGAAUGCAGCCAUGAAGCUAGCCAUGGUCCCCCGCUCGGCCAAGCUCAACUACGGCACUGACCCUCAGACUGGAAAGCCACUACGCUACCCACUGGUGAGUGUGCAUAACGUCUACAUCUUCCCUGGGAUCCCGUCUCUGUUGGAGAGAGCCUUCAACGGUCUGGAGCACCUGUUCGCUGGCUCAGGGACCACCUUCCACACACGAGAGGUGUUUGUGGAUGCAGACGAGGCGUUGAUCGCCCCGGUGCUGACCCGCCUGCAGGCGGGCUGGGGGAAGAGGGUGGCUCUGGGCUCCUACCCUGACUGGCUCAGUAACUACCACCGGGUCAGGCUGGUGCUGGAUUCAGACAGCUCGGAGGAGGUGGAGAAGGCCCGAGCUCAGCUGCUGGAGGAGAUGCCCAAAGGCAGUGUGGUUCCCCUGGUCACGGACUCUGUGUCCAUUGCUACUGAGGAGGUCUACACCCUGGCCAACAGCGGCACACCACUGGGUGAUAAAGUGGCAAACGCUCUGAAGACCAUAGAGACUGCUCUGGAUCAGUAUUCGGCAGGGGAGAUCUGUGUGGGCUUCAAUGGAGGCAAAGACUGCACUGCUCUACUACAUCUAUAUUACGCUGCACUGAAACGGCGGUAUCCGGAGGGUAAGGACAAGGUAAAGGCUCUGUACAUUCGCAUCGUCUCUCCCUUCCCAGAGAUGGAGAGAUUCCUCCAGGACACAAUAAAGAGAUAUGACCUGGAGAUUUUCUCAGUGGAGGGCAGUAUUCGGCAGGCAUUGAGUGAGGUACAGGAGAGGAGGCCGGAGCUGAGAGCUGUGUGUAUGGGCACCAGGAGGAGUGACCCCUACUCACACACACUCACACCCAUGUGUCUCACUGACCCUGGAUGGCCGGACUACAUGAGGGUCAACCCCCUGCUGGACUGGAUGUAUCAUGAUAUCUGGUCAUUCCUGAGGACUCUAUAUGUGCCCUACUGUAUUCUAUAUGAUAAAGGGUACACCUCAUUGGGCAGCAUGGACAACACCUGCCGAAACCCCGCCCUCCAAGUGGUGGAUGGGAGGGGCGUGAGCCGCUAUAGACCUGCCCACCACUUGGAGAAUGAGGAAAUGGAGCGCGACUCACGUGAAUGAUGUUUGUAACGUCAUGUCCUGAUCUUUUAUCCGCCCUUCCUGUUUGGGGCUCCAGAACAGUUGACUCAGGAUGGGACAGCAUUCAUUUUACAGUAGGUCUAAUAUGCAGUUUCAGUGUCCAACCUCACAGGAGCGUUGUUCUCACGUUUUUCAUUUAGCCCUUUGAUGACAAUAAAUGACCCUUUCUGUUUUCAAGCGUGACUGAAUCCCGGCGUAUGGAUUCCCCUCUCCCCGCCAGGAGAUUAGUCGAUGCUCCGGCAGCAGGGAUCGAUACAGGCCAAUCUAAUCAAGCGGGUCGCUUACGAGGCCUCCCCAGGCCUCACACAAUGUUACAGCAUCAAUUACCUUCUCUGCUCUGUCUCACUCCCGUGUCCUCCAACUUCACUGGUCUGGGUGUUAUGGUGUGAUUAGAUUAUUAUUAAUAAGAGCGACAAUAAGAUGAGAUAUUACAAUUAUAAAGGUAAUGGUGUUAGAUUGUGGGACUUGAUAGGUGAUUGUCUGGAAUAUGAUGUAGGUAUAUUUGGAGUGAUUACUUUAUAUUGGUUAAGAUGCUUGUCAAUUACAAAUGUAGUGUGUGUGUGUGUGGCACGUGUUCAGUAUGUAAUUAUUUCAGAGAAGCAGGUGUGCCCCUCUUCCCCAAUAUCUACCCCAUACCCUCUCUCUCCUCCAUCCUCAUAUCCCUCCCUUUCCUUCAUCACUCCCUCUCCCCUGCUGACCCUUAUUCCCUCUAGUCUUUAAUGUUCAACUUUCAGAGUUUACCGUCUCCUAAACAGGAGCUAGAUGGUGCCAAUCUUUCCCAUUUGUCUGGGAUGGAGCCUGCAGAUUUCCCAUAAUGCAUAUUGCUAAAUUUAUUUACUCAACAGAUGCCAUGAAAAACAGACACAGCUUGACUUUAGACCACUGUUGAUGUCAAAAAGGUGUGAAAAAUCUGACAGACUUGGAUUUGGUAGAGAGCUAUUGCCUUAACGUCUCCAGAUGUAAGCCUUCUUCAGAUAGUGUAUGUGUUCUAUAGAGGAACGUCUCUAAUCCAAUUGCAUGCUGGCUCUGUGUUAGAGGAGACAGAGGCAGCAUGAGACAGCGAUUCGGCUCCCUGUCCUGAGAGAUGCUGAACACUCAGGAUGAAUGGAUUCUCAGUUGUUAGAAAUCAUCUGGAGAGGAGCGAGAGCUUUGAGUCUAUGCAAAUCACAAACUGAUCAGCAUGUAAAGUCGACCAACAGGAACGCAGGAAAUGUGAUGUUCAGUAUCAAAGUGUCACAUUUAAAGGGGAUGAAAGUGAGAGAAUAAGAGUGAGAGAGAGCUCUUUGAACCAUCUCAUGUGAGGUGAUUUACAUUUGUCUAGCUUUGGUUUCUACACAUAACGGUAUUCUCAUAAUCUCAGGUUUGCCACAGUUCUGAGUUCACUUAAUACAACCUAGACCCCUGCUUGUAUUGGGGUACAUGAAGGAGUUUCUGAAAAGCAUUUCAAACCAGACAUCACAGGGUUCACUCAAAGUAAAUGCAGCAUGGCUUACAGAUUCAAUACCACUUUUCUGAAACUGAUGAGAAAAUUCAGAGAUUGGAUUUGUGGGGUUCAUGUUUUGUACUGAACAUUAACACAGCAAAAUAUAUCCAGAAGGGAAUUGCAACGUCCUUCAGAUUGUCGCUAUUAAAGGACGUUGCAACUCAGUAAACGGUAGGCCUAGAUAAGGCUGAGAAGUAUUUGAUUGGGCAAGAACGUCUUGACCGAUUGGUCAGUUUGUGUGUAACAGUCCAUUGUCCCUGAAAGACUGAUCAAACGAGAGUUUGUGAAGUUGUAAAAAUUACGUCAUGGUAAAAACCACCUUCUCACUUGGUUUUGAACGCAGCAUUAGACACUGAUCUAUACAACUAAUUGAAUACAAAUGUCACUGAACUUGUGUUUAAAGAAUGUCUUGCCAUUUCUCAGUAACCUAAAAUAUCACACAACUUGUCUGUUGAUGAAUUAAACAUGUUUAAUAGUAUAUGGUAUGUCUGCUCUAAAUAAAGUUAUUCAAAAACCCACUGGAAUGUCAAAUAAAGAGAAAAUGUGUAUAAAUUCUCCUAAUAGGUUUCAGAAACUUAAGCAUAUAAAUUACUGUAAUGUGGCUGGUGUGGCUGUUUUUAUAGAUGCAUACAACCUUUAUUUAAAGUGACUCACCUGACUAUCACCGGUCAUGCAGCACGACAGGGAUGACAACAUUUCCUCUGUAAUUUGUAAAGGGAAUCAGAAAAGGACAUUUACCACUAUGGUGGAAAUGACAAGAUACACUGGGCCUUUAGUCUGUUUUAAUCAGAGAUAUGAUUACCAUCAAAUGGUUGUUUUAUGGAACAGAAUAAGGGGGUUGUUAGAACACUCAUCUCUGUGUGUACUGAGGAUGGGGCCUCUGGAAGAUUUACCAUGUCUUUGGAUGAUACCACAUUCCAGAGCAUGAGUUAAUGUUUUUGUACUGGAGUACCAGGGGGAGAUGGCUCCAGUAUGGAGUUUGGGGCCAGACACUGGUCUCUACACAAUGAGAACUGUUUUUACUGUCUGCUGUGAGUUAUAAGUAUAUUUCAUAGAAAUCUUAACCUUGUGACCCAUUCCAUACAUCUGUUGUUUGUCAUGUAGACUGAAUGGACUUUGCUAUAAAAUGCUGUGGAUGAAA